UCACAAGCUUAUGAAUAAUUAUAUUGCAGCGAAUGCGUUACGACAGGCACUGUCAUUGUGUGAAUAAUUAAUGAUAUAGUGAUCCAAGCAUUACGUCGAGUUUGCCGUAAGCUUACCUCAUAGCCAUCAUAAGCCAGGUACGCUGACGGAAGGGUAACGUAACCACACGGAAGAGCCAAAAAAUUAUUCACCCAGUGUUUAUUCACAAGAUUGACCGAAGCUUAUUUAGAUGACCAAAUUAUGAACAAUGACCCACCCUGAGGCUGUAAGAGUGGGCCUGAUGAGAGAAUGCAUACUUGAAGCAGUUAUAGGACUUAAUAUAUUCAAGAAGACCAAGCGAUCCUUAUAGGACUACAUGCAAAGCAAUGUACUCCAGACCGCACAACUGGACAUACAGAUUGUGCCCUGAUGCCAUCUGCCCCGUUCUCCCAGCCUCAUCUUCCCUCUCUAUGCCUAGCUUCACAUCGGUUGGCUCUUCUUUGGCUCUCUUCAUCCCGUCUGCCUGCCUCGCUGCUCUCCCUGAUAACAUUUCCUGACUGAUGCCUUGCACUCUGACUCUUUCUGCAAGGUGCCAUUCUCAGCAGUGACUCAAUUUAGUGCCACCCUGCUGCUUGGCAUUGCACUUCUGAGGUCAUCACCAUCUUUCUUCAGCCAACCAAAAUGAUUCUCACCAACCACCCCAGCUCUGCUAAGCUUGAUGUUGGAGGUCUGCUGUUUUUGAAGGGGGACCACUGUCCAUUAAAGGCUUCAUAAACCAUUUAACAAAAUCACAUAAGAUAGGGUAGUUCAUACUCCAUGCGAUGUGCCAUACAAUGGAAGGGCCAUGUUCUUUAUCACAUCUGGAUACUGCAAAGCUCCUGUCUCCUCAACAAUUUACGAACUAAUCAAUUAUUAAAUGAAGAAAUGCUAUGGAAAAGCAAAGAUAUUUCUUCCUGUGGAGUUUGAGUCUUAAAUUUAGUAAUUACUGUUUAAUGGCAUAAAUAAAAGUUAAAUAUUAUGUUAUUUUAAAAGCAUCAUGUAUCUUUCUUCAUUCCUAAUGUAUUCUACUAGUAGUGUGUCAGGCACUUUAACCCUUAUGAAAAAAGCCAAGGAAAAUAGAGAGCAUCAUAUCAGAACAACUGUUUAUUUGCACAUGCAACAUUAAACUAUGGUAUACAUCUCUGUUUUCAUUACAAUAUUGAAAAGGAUGAGUAUUUGGAGUCUACAGUACUGCUUGCUCCAUCUCCAGCAAAGAUAAAAACAUCCCAAGAAAAAGGAGUCAUUCACAUAGUAUUCCUCUUUUUACAACCGCAACACAUUUUACACAGACAACACAGCAUCUGGAGG